GUCCUUGUAGCACAAUGGACAGUGCGUUGGACGUCUAAUUCAAAGCUGGUGGGUUCAAAACCCACCUGGGACG